CGGAACACGUACGCAACCUUCCCAAAACAGGUGAAUAGCCCUGCGAAAGUAGGAUUAAUACACCGUAAGAUAUAGGGUAGGCAUCUACUUUAUAUUAUAGACAGCAAUGUCGGUUUUGGAUGGGCGUGCGCCUGAUUAGGUAGUUGGUGCGGGUAACGGCCCACCAAGCCUUCGAUCAGUAACUGGUGUGAGAGCACGACCAGUCACACGGGCACUGAGACACGGGCCCG
rnacentral:rRNA from 1 species